UUUCUCUCAAAUAUCUUUUAAUGGAUCCCCUUGCUAGUAAGUACAGAUGGCCGACGAAAAUCCGUAGUUAGUAUUUCUUCGAAGUUUGUUGUAGAAGCUAUUUCAGUUGGAUUUUUUUGGCUUUAUCAACGGAAGAACGAUGAAAUUUAGGAAUAUUUGGGAUUGGAAAAUGACAUUGAUGUUUAUGAGAUGGAGAACAGGUCAUGUGGUUUCAUGACGUUUACAUUAGGGACCUUGUAAUUUCGAGCCAUGGUUAGAUAACGAGAUCUGCAUCGGGGUCGACACUUUCGUCUCUAAGAUUCCACACCAUAGCAUUGGGAAGAUGCUUGACCCUCAAGGUCAGAUUUUGGACGCCGG